rnacentral:lncRNA from 11 species
AGACUGAUGUAUGUAUAUCACUUUGUUCAUGAAUAUAUUGCACUGAAUAACUGAAUACUUUUGGGGUGCAUUAGACUGCAGAAUGAAUGCACUUCCCUAGCUCCAUGCAAUGGAAUCAUGCAAGAUGUGCAGCCUUCCCUUCUGCAGGCGACAACUCCAAGGAUCCCAUAGCACUGGGCCAUGGAUAGUUAAAGCGGGACUAAACUGCAUUCAUUCUCAAGGACCGGCUGCGACUUGAAAAGCGCUGCACUCCAACCUUCAGAAUCGGAGAGCGGAAAUCCUCUGCGGGUCGGUGGCGUGGCGGCUACAAUUGGCUAAGGGAGACGUGACGUAGUGAGCCGCACAGCGCCCCCUGCAGGCGGUCCUUGGAUCUGGCGCGCCCGCCCACGUGUUGCGGAACAGCGCCGAGGGGGGCGUGGAAAAGUUUGUAGCCCUGGCGCCAAAUCCCCAGGAACAGCGACUGUCUUUGCGGGACGCCUUUUCCUCAAGGUGUGUAAAAUGGCAGAGAGACCCGUCUGGGAGCAAAUUGGAACCAGUUUUAUACAGCUGUAUUAUCAACAGUUUGAUAACAACAGGGAACAAUUGGGAGCCCUUUAUGUACGUAUUAGCACUGUUUUCUUCUUGGUGUAAUGCAGGGCUGGGCAACCUUUAGAAGUUGUUGAACUGGAGCGCCCAGCAUUCUGCAACAUUGGUCUAUAUUGGCUAGGAUU